rnacentral:lncRNA from 1 species
AACUUUGAGGACAGCUUCAACCAACAAGUAAGCAGCGGAAUAACACAAACAACAUGCACAAGUGACACGGGAUUUAACGUGGAAAAACCUCCUCAACUUCAGGAGUAAAAAAACCACGGCUGUGGACCGACCGGUCCACACAACUUCACUAUGAGAAUGAUGAGUACAAAGUCUUCUCUAGAACCUCCAGAGAGAUUUACAACACACUCUCCACGUUGCCAACCGGCAACAGCAACAACAGCCACAAGAGGCAAGAUUUCAGCAAACAGAGUUUACACAGCUUCUGUACCCUUCAGUGUUUUGCAAUCUGCUCUUAAACCACUGAACCAAACAGCACCAAAUUUGGUAGACAAGUAGACACACGAGUUCUUGAUAUCCCCUCAAAAUUUCAGCUCAACCGGACAACGUUUGCCUACCCAAACUGUUCGUCUCCAAAAACUACUCUGUUCUGAAACUGCAGCAGUCAGAGCUGACAAAACCACUCUCAAAUCGGAUGCUCCACUCACCCAAUUCUCAAACCAGCUAACUAGAUCGAAGUACUCAAAGUAAGGAAUGAGCUCACCAAGUUUGCGGUCGAUCCAAGCACGUUUGCGCCUCCAAUCACCAGCUUGAACACUGUCUAGUCAGAUGCAGCAAAUCUGGACAGAACCUCUGCUUCGUCCUCUUCCUCUCUCUCAGGUUGUGUUUUCUCUUGUGUGCUCUCUCACUCUCACGAAUGGCAGCCACCACCAGCAAGGGUGGAGUGGCUAGGGUUUGCUCCUUGCUUCACUUCCCUUGGAAGCACUCUCAAUCGUUGGAUGCAGCGAAGAUCAACGGCUGACAUGUGUUGGACUUAUGGGCUGAUGUUGGGCUGCCAACACCAUCCAUGUGGAGGGACUUAGCCGAACAAACUCCCCCUCCUAACAUCAUGGAGGGUCUCACUGCCUUUCGGCAGCCAUGCCAGUGAGCCGGCAGCAUACUUCGAGCUUCUUCCUUGUCACCACUUUAUUCAACAUAUCAGCCCCAUUGUCAUCAGUAUGAACCUUCUCAAGUUACAUUUGCUUGGAAUACAACACAUCUUGAAUCCAAUGAUAAUGGACUUCUAUAUGCUUAGACCUUGAAUGAAAGCUUGCAUUCUUACUCAAGUGGAUAGCACUUUGGUUGUCACAAAACAACACAUACUUGCCUUGCUUAAAACCAAGCUCGCAAGCCAACCGUUUCAGCCACAGUAGCUCUUUGUUCGCCUCUGUUACUGCAAUGAAUUCAGCUUCAGUUGUAUUCAGUGCCACACACUUUUGCAGCCUACUUUGCCAUGACACCGCUCCCCUACAUAGGUAACAAAGUAACCUGAAGUGCACUUCCUUCUGUCAACAUCUCCAGCCAUGUGCCUUGCGGUACAGUAAAAAAAAACAUCUCCGGCCAUGUCAGAAUCUGAAAAAGCAAUCAGCUUGGCCUCACCAUCACCGAAGCAAAGUUUCAGAUUUGUGCUGCCCCGAAGAUAUCUCAAAAUUCACUUCACGGCUUCCCAAUGAGGUCUUCCUAGAUUGGACAUAAAUCUGCUCACAGUACUAACCGCAUGAGCAAUGUCAGGCCUUGUACACACCAUAGCAUACAUCAAACUCCCAACCGCUAAAGCAUGAGGAACAUGAUGCAUUUCCUUUUUCUGCUCAUCAGUGGUAGGAAAUUGCUUUCUGCUCAACUUGAAAUGGGCUGCUAGUGGACAGCUCACAACUUUAGCAUUUUCCAUCCUGAACUUCUGAAGUACCUUCUCAAUAUACUUCUCUUGAGACAAAUACAACUUGUGCAAUUUCUGUCUCGCUCAAUUCUCAUUCCAAGAAUGUUCUUUGCUGGACCUAAGUCUUUCAUAGCAAAACAUUUGCUCAGCUAGCUCCUUCUUCAACUUAGCAAUCCUAGAGACAUUCUUGCCAACAAUCAGGAUAUCAUCAACAUAGAGCAAUAAUAUGAUGAAAUCAUCACCUGAGAACCUCUGAAUAAACACACAAUGAUCUGAGCUACACUUCUUGUAGCCUUGCUCCCCCAUGAUAGUUUCAAACUUCAUGUACCAUUGUCUUGGUGCUUGUUUUAGGCCAUAGAGACUUCUCUUCAGCUUGCACACAUAGUCUUCUUUGCCUUUCACAAGAAACCCCUCAUGUUGCUCCAUGUAUAUUUCUUCCUCCAACUCACCAUGAAGGAAUGCAGUCUUCACAUCCAUUUGCUCAACCUCCAAGUUGAGACUUGCUGCCAUGCCAAGGAUUUCUCUUAUGGAUCUCAUCUUCACAACCGGAGAAAAGAUCUCAUCAUAGUCAAUGCCUUUUCUCUGGCCGAAUGCUCUUACAACUAGCCUGGCCUUGUACCUUGGAUGUGAUGUGUGCUCUUCUUGCUUGAUUCUGUAGACCCACUUGUUCUUGAAAAUUUUCUUGCCCUUGGGCAACUUCACCAACUCAUAAGUAUGAUUCUUAUGCAAGGAAUCCAUCUCCUCUUGCAUAGCAUUUUUCCACUCCUUCUUGUGCUCAUCUUUCAUUGCAUCUGCAAAGCAUUCAGGUUCUGAACCGUCAGAUAAUAACACCAGGUAUUGAUCUGAGGGAUACCUGCUGGAAGGAAUUCGACCCCUGUUGGAUCUUCUGAGUGGAGCAGCUGGUGGACUUUCUGGUGCUGGUGCUUCCUGUUGAUCCUGAUCAUCAACUUUAGCAUCAUACUCUUGCUGCUGCUAUUGGGGAGCAUCUUCUUCACCUGCACCACCAUGUACAUCAUCUUGUACAUCUUCUGCAUCUGCUUCAAGUUGCACAGGAGCUGGAGCUGCAGGAACUGGGUCAGAAUCAAUCAUGUCUUGCUACUGCUGAGGAGGAACCUGCCUCUUUGUCUUCACAAUAUCCUCAAUUGUUUGGUCUUCAACAAACACAACAUCAUGGCUUCUCACUACUUUCCUUGCUAUAGGGUCAAACAGCUUGUAGCCAAACUCAUCACCACCAUAGCCAAGAAAGAUACAUUGUCGUGUCUUCGAAUCAAGAUUUUACCUUUCAUCUUGAGGAAUAUGAACAAAGGCCUUGCACCCAAAAACCUUCAGGUGGUCAUAUGAGACGUCCUUGUCACACCAGACCCUGUUAGGAACAUCUCCCUGCAAAGGAUAACUUGGUGAGAGAUUAAUAAGAUAAACUGCAGUCAUCAAAGCCUCACCCCAAAAGUGUUUACGUAGCUUUGCACUUGACAACAAGCAUCUAACUCUCUCCAAAAUUGUCAUGUUCAUCCUCUCAGCAAGACCAUUCAGAUGUGGUGUCUUCGAGGGAGUAAAUUGAUGCCUAAUACCUUGCUGCUUGCAAUAUGCGUCAAAUGGCCCAAUAUACUCUCCUCCAUUAUUAGUGUGAAUGCACUUGAUCUUCUUCUCAGUUUCUCUCUCAACCGAGGCUUGGAAUUGCUUGAAUACACCUAGUACUUGAUCUUUGGUCCUCAAAGUGAAGGCCCAAACUUUCCUGGAAAAGUCAUCAAUAAAAGUCACAAAGUACUUAGCACCACCAAGAGAUCUUACCGCCAUUUUGCAAACAUCGAAAUGUAUCAAGUGCAGCUUCCCGGGCUUCUUGUGAGGAGGUAGAGUCUUGAAGGAAACUCGGUGUUGCUUCCCUGCUAGACAAUCUGAACAUUUCUUGAUGUGAACUCCUUUCACACCCUUCAACAAUUUUUUCUUCACUAGCACCGUCAUCCCCUUCUCACUCAUGUGCCCAAGUCUCUUGUGCCAUAGACCACAAUGAUCAUCCUUCUCUAGUGCAUUGACAGAAGCACUAAAGAGCUUAGCAUGAACAUGAUACAACACUGAGACCAUUUUACCUCUUGCAACAAUCAUGUUGCCUUUGGUGAGCUUGUACUGCCCUUUUCCAAAACUGCUCAAGUAAUCAUCUCCAUCAAGCAAACCAACUGAAAUAAUAUUGAGACGAAGUGCCUCCACAUGCCUCACAAAUUUGAGGAAUAACCAUGUAUCAUUUGCGGUCUCCAAAUGCACAUCUCCUUUUCCAAUGCUGUCUGCUCUAUCAUUGUUCCCCAUCUUCACAACACCAAAAUCACCUGAUAUAUAGUUAGUGAAGAGCUCUCUGCGAGAUGUAGCAUGAAUGGUAGCACCGCUGUCCGGUAUCCAAAUCAUCUCGUCACCAUCCACAAGGUUGACAGUUUCAUCAGAAACAACAGUGAUCUUCUCCUCAACAGUGGAACCAAAUCUGCCAUCAUUUUCUUCAUGCAUAAAAAGCAUGAUGUCCUCUUCUACUGUAGUAACUCGGUUGCCCUCUGUGUCACUAUCACUGUCAACUUGCUUCUAAUCUUGCUUCUUCUUUUUCUUUUUGUCUUUCUUCCACUUGUCACAUUGCCACUUAAUGUGGCCCUUCUGAUGGGAGUGAUGGCACUCAUAAUCAGCAUACUUGCUUUUUGAUUUGCUCCUACCUCUUUCUGCCCUUUACUUGGACCUCUGCUCUUACUUCUCCCCCUGGACUGAGUGACCAACACCUCUGAAUGUGAGGAAGAACUAGCUUCAGCCACCUUUCUAGACUCUUCAUUUAGUACCCUGGUUUUCACAAGAUUCCAACUAACAACUCCAUUAGGUGCUGAAUUGCAAACCAUGACCUUAAAGGUCUCCCAGCUAUCCGAUAAUGAGCCUAGUAGCAGCAAAGCUCUCACUUCAUCUUCAAAUAUUAUUCCCAUUGAAGAAAGCUGAUUUAUAAUGCCUUGGAAUGUUUUCACAUGAUCUGCAAUUAGAAUGCCCUCUUUGUACCUGAAGCACAUCAAUUGUUUGAUCAAGAACAUCUUGUUUGUACCAUCUUUUCGGGCAAACAACUCUUCCAAUUUCUGCCAUAAGGUGCGUGCAUGUGUCUCAUCAAUGAUAUGGUUCAAAACAUUGUCAUCGACCCAUUGCCGAAUAAACCCACGAGCUUGGCGAUGAAGUACCUUCCACUGACCUUCCUCAAUGCCCUCCGACAUCUGAGUGGAGAACACUGGCUUCCAGUAUUCUUUCACAUACAAUAAGUCCUCCAUCUUGCCCUUCCAUGCUUCAUAAUUUGUACCAUUCAAAGAUAUCAUCCUGCUGGUAUUCACUUCCAUCUUUCACCACAAGAAACUCAGCAAUUUGCACAAGCAAACCAAGGCUCUGAUACCACUUGAUGGGGCUGGACAGCAACAAUGCGCUACACAACCCCCUCCACUUGUGAUGAACUUUGAGGACAGCUUCAACCAACAAGUAAGCAACAGAAUAACACAAACAACAUGCACAAGUGACACGGGAUUUAAUGUAGAAAAACCUCCUCAACUUGAGGAGUAAAAAAACCAUGGUUGUGCACCGACCGGUCCACACAACUUCACUAUGAGAAUGAUGAGUACAAAGUCUUCUGUAGAACCUCUAGAGAGAUUUACAACACACUCUCCACGUUGCCAACCGGCAACAGCAACAACAGCCACAAGAGGCAAGAUUUCAGCAAAGCAGAGUUUACACAGCUUCUGUACCCUUCAGUGUUUUGCAAUCUGCUCUUAAACCGCUGAACCAAAUAGCACCAAAU